GAUGAAGAACGUAGCGAAAUGCGAUAAGUAAUGUGAAUUGCAGAAUUCAGUGAAUCAUCGAAUCUUUGAACGCAUCUUGCGCUCCUUGGUAUUCUGUGGAGCAUGCCUGUUUGAGUGUCAUUAAAUUCUCAACUACACUGACUUUGAAUUGGUGUGGCUUGGAUUUGGGGGGAAAAUUGUUGUGGGCUUUUUGUAUAGUCUGCUCCCCUGAAAUUGAUUAGCGGUACCUUUGUGGAACUGUCUACAGGUGUCAUAAUUAUCUACAUCUUAGACAUCUGCUGGAAUGCUGCUUUCUAAACCUUACUUGUAUUGACAAUCUUGACCUCAAAUCAGGUAGGACUACCCGCUGAACUUAAGCAUAUCAAUAAGCGGAGGA
rnacentral:misc_RNA from 1 species